ACACCCGCGGAGAGCUGGGUUGCUCGACCUGCAGGGGGUGGAGAGAUUCUGACAGAUCCAUCAGUUAUAAAGAGCGGUGAGAAGGGAUCCUAUGAUAUGAUAUUUGGACCUGCCAACCUGGGGGAUGAUGCCAUAAGGAACUUCCGAGCAAAACACCACUGCAACUCCUGUUGUCGGAAACUCAAACUUCCAGAUCUAAAGCGGAAUGAUUACACUCCAGAUAAGGUGACGUUCCCACAAGAAGACCCUUCCAACCCAGGGGGCGGUGUCAAAGAUUCCCGCCAAUCAAUGAGGGUGAUGCUGUGAUGGCUGUAAAGCAAGAGAGAGAGCGUGAUUGAUCACAAGGAGACACUGUUCUGAUUGAUUUCAGUCAAAGCCAAGGAGCAGAGAGGCUUUCCCAAUCAACUAGAAGAAUCACACAUGUGUUUCCAUGGAAACCAGUGCAUGCAGACUGUCGUUUUUUUCUGUUGAUCCCACCAAAAUGCUGUGUCAAACACAAUUCAACCAUCUUAACCUUUUGUUUUUUAAUACAUUUCUUUUUUACAAGUUUAUGAAUAUAUAUACAGUAUAUAUAAAUGAACUGGAUAUAUCUACAGGUACAAUAUCAUUGCAGAGGGUUUAUUAUUUAUUAUGAAGUUUGAGAAAUUGCCUUGUUUAAAAAAGAAAAAGGAAAAAAAAAAAAAAUCUAAGUGCAUUGUACAUCUGUUACAGCAGCUUCAGAGAGGACAGCCUGCUGAGAUUCAGUCACUGCUACAAUGCAGUUUGCCGCCAGAUCAUUUUUAUAAAUGUAUAAAGAAUUGUAUCACAACCUUUUGUCUCUUAGUUAAUGAACAGAUAUACAUGAAUUAAAAAAUCUUGUAAAGUAUGGGCAGAUUGCAAUGCAACUUUUACAGAACAAUGUAUGUAAUUUUAUUGUAUUGAAAGUGUGUCCACCAAAAUAUUGCCGAUAGUUUUUAUUGUUACAAAGGUACUAUUGCUAUAUCUUUGUCAUCAACUAUUGUAUGAGAAAAUUACAAUCUAGUGUAUCUUAUAGAUACUGUUAUCUGGCAUGAGCUGAACAGAACAGAUUGAAAUAUUUUAUUUAGGGGAACUGACAGACAUAAGGGUAUUACUGUAUACAUUUUGUACUGGACAUCAUUUUAAACAAAUAAAAUGUUAAAAGGCUUUAGCAACAUUGCUCAAGUUUUUAUGAAUGACGGUUUCAAUGCAUGGCCAAUUAUUCAGAUUCCAAUAGAAGGGCUAUAAAGCAGUGUGCUGUAAAGAAGAAACAACAUUCACUCAAAUCUGAGAUUUUAUUCUAAAGCUCUGAUAUUUCGUAUUACAUGAAACUAAUCUUUAAUUUCGUUAAUAUGAAACCCAUUUCACAAACUUCAUUUUGGCACAAUUGUGAGGAUUUUUUACAUCACUAUUAUUUUGAGAUUUUAGAUACAAAACGGUUACUUCAUUAAUCUAUCUUCAAAUAUUGUGUCCACAUUGAGAUGUUUGUUUACCAACCCAUGUUUUCGUGUAUGAAAACUUCGGAUACUGUCAUUAGGAAGAUUUUAAUUGAAAAAGGAGGCUGGUGGAUUCGUGUACGUACAGUGUGCCUGCAGAAGGACAUAAUGAACAGAGAGACCUCAGAUUCCUCAGUUGGGAAGCAGCUGCUGGGAUUUAAAUCCACACACAGCAACCUCUGUUCAGCUGCCCCGGACCAAACUGAUAGACAGCUCACCUGUGAGAUAGUGUGAUGGUUGAGCUGGGGACACUGUUGGCUAGCUCUUGGCUUGGAUCGUACAUUUGUACAAUCACUUUCAACUUUACAAUACGUAGGGGAAUCUUCACAUAACACUAACUUGUUUACAUGUAGGCUACAUUGCGAGAGUUCAUCGCAGUAAUCAUUCCUACUGUCCGUGAAGACAUCCUUUUUGCCACGUACGGACGUUGUUUUCGGUUCGGUGUCCGUUGUCUGUUUGUUGUGUUUACGUGUAGCAGGAUUACAGAUAAUGUACUGGCCCAAUUUUCAUGAAACAUGGCGUUUGCCUGCGAAUGUCUGCGCUCAGCCCUUCCAGUUAAUUCAAGGACAUUCAGAUUGUCGUGUGUAAAAUAAAUGUGUAGCCAACUCAAAAGUUUUACUGAGUGCUUUCCAUUGGAAUAGCAUUGGGAUAUAUUCAUAUUUAACGGUAGGAAUUUCAGCCAGUAGGCUAGGCUAACUUUAUAACACAAUAUAAGAGAAUGAAACUGCACUUCAAACACACAAAUAAUCGUAAACAAUGCUGUUGGCCGGGUAUGAUGUAAACUGGAGACUGUUACCUCCCAUUGGGUGUGGUUGACUUUAUAAUAGCCCAUCAUGACUCUGCAUUUUAUUCAGCUCAUUAUUGUCGGACUGAAAGUUUACAGCUCAUCAAAAGGUUUGUCCAAAAAGCCGCAGAAACAUGACUAACGUCUCCGUUGAAUACUGCGCAGGAUGAGGUUAUUCCCGCCGCUUCCAGGAACUAGCCCGAGUCGUCCGGCAGGUUCCUGGUGUUAAUGUGACGGGGAAAACAGGGAGGCAAGGCAGCUUUGAGGUGUCGGUGAAUGAUAAGCUGGUCUACUCCAAGCUCAAGACGGGAUCCUUUCCUAAUCCUGAUGAGGUGGUGGAAUUGGUAAAGAAGAACAUGGGCCAAGGAGGAAAAGCUGGGAAGACCACGUUUUAGAAAAUGGAGGCUAAAACAACAGCUGUAUUCACACUGGAAGAACAAUGGUCGUUUUUUUUAUGGUUGCUUAUCUGAAUACAAAAUUGAAUUCAAACACAA